rnacentral:lncRNA from 1 species
AACUUGGCCUGAGACAAAGAAGAAUCAGGAACAGACCAAAGAGAUAAAUAUCUGUCAAGAUAAAGCAAUAGGACGAGGAGUCAAGGCCUGAGGCUUUGAAACUGUGGCCUUUCCUUUCCUAACCAGUGUGCCCAUCCUCCCACAGCUGCUGGGAUUGUGGCCUGAAUCCCCUUCUCUAGAAAAUUGCUUGGAGGACUGGUAACUGCUUUGGUUGGAGAUCACUAAGCAUCACUGCUUCAGCAGGCUGCCACAUUCUCCCACCCUACCUGAAGGCAAUGCCUGCCUGGAAUGGCCCUGUUGCUUUGUGGUGUUAAUCUGCUUUGGACUUUCAGGCUGACACCUACAUUCUUGCUCAGCUCUCUUGCCUGCCCUAUUCUGUCCCAUUUACCCCCCUCUUCCUGUAGGUUCUUCUGUAACAAAUUAUACAAACCCAAAUCCCUAACAUGAACCCUGCUUGUUGAGAAGCUGCCCUGGUGUGUUUAAUAGACUUCUGCACACUUAACAUACCUUGAAAUCAAGAUGCGUCAAAGACUAGACGGGAGGUUAAAUCCAGGAAUCAGGCAAAAGCCAGAGUAUAGAAACCCUGGCCCUAGAUGUCCUACAAACAAAGAAUGGAUAAAGAAAAGGUGGUACAUUUACACAACGGAGUAGUACUCGGCUGUUAAAAACAAUGACAUCCGGAAAUUUGCAGGCAAAUGGAUGGAAUUAGAAAAAAAUCGUCCUGAGUGAGGUAACCCAGACCCAGCAAGAACCGUACACUCAAAGAGUGUCAACAGAUGUUAAUAUUGGAUAAGCCUAAGAAAACGAUUUAAAUGUCAGGAAUGUGCUCUACGUGGAUAAAGGAAAAAAGAAUAAAAUGGGGCAAACAAUGAGACAGCACCUGCACUUCACACAAAUCCACGUCUGCUAACCACAAGGAGCCAACUAUGGAGACAUGACCAGAUUUAACAGCAAAGACUGUUACUGUAACUAUUAGGCGUAUGGAUAUUUGGCCUGCAUGUGUAUCUAUGUACCACAUGUGUACCUAAUGUCCUCAGAGACCAGAAAAGGCUUCCAGAUUCCCUAGGAACUCGUUCCAGGGGAUUGCCAUGUGAAUGUUGUGAACUGGACCUGAACCUGCAUCCUCUGCAAGAGCAGCAAGUGCUCCUAAGCUCAGCCAUCUCUCCAUUGACCGCCUCCACUGACUUUAUAUCUCCUCAGGAAAAUAGGUCACUAUUGAGCAUUUACAGCUUCCUGGAGAAACCUUCAUUUUUCAGUCACAGCCCUAAGAGGUUUUUGUCCCACAGUCUGACAAAACCUUUUGAAAUGACCUCUGGGGAAACUUUUGAAACUACUGAAUAUUCUAAUAGGCUAAUAGAAACAAAACAUCUGGAGAAUACGGACUGGGUAGCACUUUUUUUUCAUUCUGUUGGUCACUUAAACUCAGCUGGUAAUUCUAAUGACUCAGUUCAAAAUAAUUGGGUAGCUAUCUCAAUGCAGUGGUCUUAAAAUUGUAAUAGUGAACCAGUGACAUUGGCUAAGACAUGGGUAGAAAUGGAGAUUUCCCAAACUCUUCCCAUAUCUACCCCAUCACAUCAUCUUAAGGAUGAACCCAGAAAUAUAUGUUACCAAUUUAAAUUUGAGAACUAAUACAUAUAACAAUUAUAGUGUGUGUGUGUGUGUGUGUGUGUGUGUGUGUGUGUGUGUGUGUGUGUGUGUGCAAGCUUGCAGGCAUAGAGGUCAGAGAACAACUGAAUGUGUGAGGGUCAAAGGAAGCCAGUUCUCUCCUGUCACCUUGUGGGAUCCUGUAACACGAAUAAAUAAAUGACCCAGAGCA